rnacentral:rRNA from 1 species
GUAGGGAAUAUUGCGCAAUGGGGGAAACCCUGACGCAGCGACGCCGCGUGAGUGAUGAAGGCCUUCGGGUCGUAAAGCUCUGUUGCAGGGGAAUAAAAAAAUGAAGGUACCCUGUGAGGAAGGAUCGGCUAACUUCGUGCCAGCAGCCGCGGUAAGACGAGGGAUCCUAGCGUUGCUCGGAAUCAUUGGGCGUAAAGAGGGCGUAGGUGGCUUGGUAAGUCAGGUGUGAAAGCCCCGGGCUCAACCCUGGAAGUGCAUUUGAUACUGCUGAGCUUGAGUGUCGGAGAGGUUACCGGAAUACCUGGUGUAGUGGUGAAAUACGUAGAUAUCAGGUGGAACACCGGAGGCGAAGGCGGGUAACUGGACGAACACUGACACUGAGGCCCGAAAGCGUGGGGAUCAAACAGGAUUAGAUACCCGAGUAGUCC